rnacentral:pre_miRNA from 1 species
CAACUACUCCCUCUGUCCCAAAUUUCUUGUCUUAGAUUUGUCUAGAUACGGAUGUAUCUAAUACUAAAAUGUGACUUGAUACAUCCGUAUCUAGACAAAGCUAAGACAAGAAUUUUGGGACGGAGGGAGUACUUU